GAUUUGUUUGACGAAGGGAAUCUUAUAAUAAAAUAUAUGUAUAAUGAUAUCGAUGACUUAUGAUAUGUGUCAGAAAAAGCAGUGAGCUGCGCAACGGAAGGUUAAAGAGGUUUUGGUUGGUGAAGCGAGCGUGGGCGGAGAGAUAUGUAUUUUAAUACAUUACAAUUCUUUCGCUAUAUUUGGAGCAUAUUAAAAUUUCAAAAGAAAUAAUGACAUGCUUAAGUAAGUGAAUAUCUUUUCAUAAUAUUCGUUUCUGUCAGAAAAAUAUACGGAAGAAUUCGUUUCAUCCAAAAGGCGAAAGGAGU
rnacentral:lncRNA from 1 species